AACAUUAUUAAAAAUAACUUUACUUACUUUUCAUGGUUAAUUCCCAAGCAGGCAAAAAGUUAUAGGCCCAAUUGUCACUCCUAAAGGCACAUUAGACACAUUUGCAGUAUCAUUUAUUAUAGAAUUUUCAAAAGAAGGUAAAAGUAAAUUUUUUGUUUCUGUGAUGGGGUGGACUAGACCCAGAGGCCCCCUACUGGAGGCCUCAGGGUCCUGCCAUGCCCAUCCCAGGAAAGGAGAAGUAAUGAAGUCCUCCUAGCAGGCUAGAGUGACUGCAGGGGAAGCAGCCAAUGAGAGGGGCUGCAGGGAACAGCCAAUCAGGUCCCAGCAGGACCAUAUGAAAGGAGCUAUAAGGCUGGACAGAGUGAGUUGCGUCUGGUAGUGAGGCUUGGAAGGAACAAGAGGUGCUCCUGGUUGGCUGUAAGCGCUAAAGCAGGAAGAAGGGAUGAAAUAUUUUGAACAAUGACUAUUAGACUUUCUCUCCAGUGUUUUCAUGUUAAGAACUGAGGAGCUUUUGAAAUAUUGAGAUGACUCAAGUAGAGCCAAUUUGUGCUGGACUGGCCCCUUCUCUGAGUGCUUCCUUCUCCUUUAGAAUCUCAGAUUUCAUCUUUUAAAAAGUUAGUCUCUAGCCUUCAGGGUUGCAAAGAAAACCUUCAAAAUGUGAAACAAAUGUGAUGGAUGCAGCAACACCUCCCUGAGUCUGCAGAGAGUUUGAAACAAUAGAUCUGAGACCUGUGAACUGCUUCAUUCAUCUAAAUGGACACUAACUGACAUGCCCAGUGGUGAUAAAUGUCAGCAUUGUUAGCUAUUUUGUUCUUCCUCAAAGCAUGUUGGAAAUAAGAGGGACAUCCUAUAAUGAAGGAUGAACACAAUCUGCUUUGAAUGGCAUCUCAUUUUGGAGUUUGGGGGAGUCUCAACUUAUUUUUCCUCAACCUGACCUAUGGCAUCAAAAGACCAGUGGGUAGGUGUGGAGUUCAGUGGAACUUCUAAGCCCUACCAAUCCAUGGAGUCCAGCAGGAUGUAGAUUGCAAGGUGGAAUCUACAUGCAGCAAAGCUCAUAAUGUAGAGGUUCAAGUAACAAUCAUUGAACGCAAGUCUUCUGGGUCAUGAUUCACUUUCUAUGGCACUAAGCAAACUGCUAGUAAAUAACACUGAAGAGUUUACAAAUAAGUCUUAUAUCAACAGUGCUUACUAGAAAAAAUAAAUAGGCUAUUUGGCCUGCAGAGCUCUAAAAACAUGUUAUUUGUCAAAUGGAUGGCUCAUUAGAUUCUAUCCCAACUUAAACUUCAUUCUUCCCUCCAUCUGUAGGAGUUAUUAUCCUUGGUCUUUCCACUGUUUUGUCACACUCCCUUUUAGCUUUGUUUCUCCUUCCUUUUUCCUCCUUUAAACCCUCUCCUUCACUUUAUUCCCCAUCCAUGAU